AAACGUAAACAAGUCGACGUCGCUACACAAUGUCGGACCAGAAACCUGUCGAACCAAGAAAGGAUUCGUUCGGCAACCUGACGGACGGCCGCCCGGUCAACAGGUACACGUUCUGCAAUCAGAAUGACGUCACAGUGCGUGUAAUUGAUUAUGGCUGCGUUAUAACGGACAUCCUGGUACCCGACAAAGGGGGCGUGGUCUCUGACGUCAGUCUGGGAUACGACUCUGUCCAAAACUACGAAACCAACCCGAUGACUUUCGGAGCCAUAUGCGGUCGAGUUGUGAACGUCAUUUCCGAUGCCAAGUUUUCUGUUGACGGUAAAGAAUAUCACGUGACCAAAAACUUUGGAAAGCAUUGCAUUCACGGAGGGAAAAAGUCAUUCACAUAUCAACUCUGGAAUUCGUGGAUUGAGGGCGACAAAGUGAAGAUGAAGUACGUGAGUCCAGACGGAGAGGAGGGAUUCCCCGGGGAACUGACCACCAUUGUAUCCUACCAACUGACCAAUCAGAACGAAAUUGUAAUUGAGUACAGCGCCACCACCACCAAACCAACACCUGUCAAUUACACAAACCACGCCUACUUCAACUUGGCAGGACACGUAAGUUAUGUAACAAAAAUAACUCAAAUAUGAUUUUUAUCAAUCUUUUUAUCACAUUGUGUUUUACUUUGUCAUUUCAGAAUUAUCCCAACCUGGAUGAUCACGUGUUGCAAAUAUCGGCGGACAAGUACACCCCAAACAAAGAGGAUGAUAUCUACAUUCCGACAGGCGAACUUCGUGACGUCACAGGUACAAUGUACGACCUCCGUCAGCCGGUGAGACUAGGGGACCGAUUGAGCAAGGUGCCCCUGGGGAAGGGGUACUUCAACAACUUCUGCGUUAACAGUGCGGACGGCAGCUUGAGGCUGAUAUCCACGUUGGACCACCCACCCACCGGGCGACGGCUAGAGGUGUACACCACAGAGCCCGGGGUACAGUGCUACACAGGCUGCGACACUGUACCCCACUCAGAGGGCAAGCAGGGGGCGGUGUACGAGAAGUUCUGUUCCAUCUGUCUGGAGACCCAGCACUAUCCGGACAGCGUUAAUAAGGAGAACUUUCCAAACAUUAUUCUAAGACCAGGAGAACAAUUCUACAGCAAGACGGUGUACAAAUUCGGACUUCGAGAGUAGACCUUGAUAAUUACAGCACCUGUUAUUUGUUGAUAAUGUGCAAAUAUGUGAAACAGAAUUAAAAAAAACUCGUAAU
rnacentral:misc_RNA from 1 species